GACGAACGCUGGCGGCGUGCUUAACACAUGCAAGUCGAACGGAAAGGCCCCUUUGGGGGUACUCGAGUGGCGAACGGGGGAGUAACACGUGAGUAACCUGCCCUUGACUUCGGGAUAACUUCAGGAAACUGGGGCUAAUACCGGAUAGGAAUCCUUGCUGCAUGGGGGGGGUUGGAAAGCUUCGGCGGGUUUGGAUGGACUCGCGGCUUAUCAGCUUGUUGGUGGGGUAGUGGCUUACCAAGGCUUUGACGGGUAGCCGGCCUGAGAGGGCGACCGGCCACAUUGGGACUGAGAGGCGGCCCCGACUCCUACGGGAGGCAGCAGUGGGGAAUCUUGCACAAUGGGCGGAAGCCUGAUGCAGCAACGCCGCGUGCGGGAUGACGGCCUUCGGGUUGUAAACCGCGUUCAGCAGGGGCGAAGCUUGUGGUGACGGUACCUGCAGAAGAAGCACCGGCUAACUACGUG
rnacentral:rRNA from 1 species